GCAGCCACCAAGUUGAACACCAUCACCAAAUCCAACCUGGGUCAGUGUGUCAGCAAGUACGACCUGCUGGUCUGGUUUGAGAUCAGCGAGCUGGAGCCCACUGGAGAGUACAUCCCAGCCAUCGUGGAUCACAGUGGAGGCCUGCCCUGUCAUGGUACCUAGCUGCUGCACCAGGGGAUCCAGCGGAGGAUCACAGUGACCCUCAUCCACGAGAAGGGCAGCAAGCUCCAUUGGAAA